rnacentral:lncRNA from 1 species
UUUUUUAAACAAAAUACCCCAAUGAUGAUUAUGGCCAAGUUUGGAUUAAUUUGGCCCAGUAGUUUCAUCAGAGAAGAUUUUUCUAAAAGAUUACUGAGAUUUACGAAAAAUGGUUAAAAAUUUACUAUAAAGGGCAAUAACUCCUAAAGAGGUCAACUGACCAUUUUGGUCAUGUUGACUUAUUUGUAGAUCUUACUUUGCUGAACAUUAUUGUUGUUUACAGUUUAUCUCUAUCUAUAAUAAUAUUCAAGAUAAUAACCAAAAACAGCAAAAUUUCCUUAAAAUUACCAUUUCAGGGGCAGCAACCCAACAACGGAAUGUCCGAUUCAUCUGAAAAUUUCAGGGCAGAUAGAUCUUGACCUGAUGAACAAUUUUACCCAUGUCAGAUUUGCUCUAAAUGCUUUGGUUUUUGAGUUAUAAGCCAAAAACUGCAUUUUACCCCUAUGUUCUAUUUUUAGCCAUGGCGGCCAUCUUGGUUGGUUGGGCGGGGCACCGGACACAUUUUUUAAACUAGAUACCCCAAUGAUGAUUAUGGCCAAGUUUGGUUAAAUUUGACCCAGUAGUUUCAGAGGAGAAGAUUUUUUGAUAAUUCACCUAAAAAGGUGAACGAAGCAUGUUGGGUCGGGUCGUAGAACAAUAUAAAGUGUACAAUUACAAAGUAUUAUUUUACUGUUGCUAGCAUUUAUUGAAACAAAAAAGAGCGGAAUUUUUCUACAAAUAGAAUACGGUACAAAAAGUGUUCAAACAUAACAAAACUGCCCGUUGAUAUUUCUUAACAGUCUAACUUAUUAGUUCUCCCUACAAAAC